AGGUGGGGAUUGGGGGGUCACAUUGUGGGCUGGGGGUCAGGGUAUGGAGGGCUGAGGUGGGCACUGAGGGGCAGCGAGGUGCCACGGGGGUGCAGGUGCUGAGGCACAGGGGAGAAUGCAGGGCCUGGGAGGCGGGCAGGGGCCAGGCCGCGGGGGUGGCACGAAGCAGCUUCUCCCUGAGCCUCGUGUGUCGCAGGAUCUGCGCUGGGGGUCGCCUCCGGAGGAGCCACAGCCCUGCAGGCCUGAGUUGUGAGCAAAGGUCGCCGAGUCUGCGUGGGACGUCCGUGUCCCUCAGGUGUUCCUGCUUGCCACGGAGGCUGCUGAGUCUGCGCCCUGCCCCAGGCCGAGGUAACGGAGCUCAGCUGGGCUCUCUGCCCACUGGAGGCACAGCUGCGUGCUUUGAACCUGCAGCCAAUCCUCCCUUUCUGCUUCAUCUUGAACUCACCCGGACAGAGCUGCCUGAUGGGGUCAGACUGCAGGUAGAAAGCAUUUCACUUCUGCGCUCCUGCAGACUGACACCCUGUGUUCAUUAUUACUGAAAAAAGCAUUUCCCUUUCCUUUCACUAAUGUCACCCUCUUCCUGGGUUACCGACUGGUAUUUUCUGCCACAUGGGCUGUCAAAGUGUAUGGAGCCCUGUAUAGGGCGGUUGAAAAUAUCCUGAUCUUUGUUGCACCGGGAAAUUGAGCUGUACUUAUCCUUUAAAUCAAAAAAACGAUAAAAGGUUCUAUGGUAAAUAUAUAGCUAUAUUUAAAACUUGACAGGUUCCUAAUAAAGGAGGGAAGAAAUACGAGUAAGAAAUAAAU
rnacentral:lncRNA from 1 species